AUAUUGGACAAUGGGCGCAAGCCUGAUCCAGCCAUGCCGCGUGAGUGAUGAAGGUCUUAGGAUUGUAAAGCUCUUUCGGCGGGGAAGAUAAUGACGGUACCCGCAGAAGAAGCCCCGGCUAACUUCGUGCCAGCAGCCGCGGUAAUACGAAGGGGGCUAGCGUUGCUCGGAAUCACUGGGCGUAAAGCGCACGUAGGCGGCUUCUUAAGUCAGGGGUGAAAUCCUGGAGCUCAACUCCAGAACUGCCUUUGAUACUGAGAGGCUCGAGUCCGGGAGAGGUGAGUGGAACUCCGAGUGUAGAGGUGAAAUUCGUAGAUAUUCGGAAGAACACCAGUGGCGAAGGCGGCUCACUGGCCCGGUACUGACGCUGAGGUGCGAAAGCGUGGGGAGCAAACAGG
rnacentral:rRNA from 1 species